rnacentral:rRNA from 1 species
UACGUAGGGGGCAAGCGUUGUCCGGAAUCAUUGGGCGUAAAGAGCGUGUAGGCGGCCAGACAAGUCCGCUAUGAAAACUCGAGGCUCAACUUCGAGCUGUCGGUGGAAACUUUCUGGCUAGAGUCCGGAAGAGGAGAAUGGAAUUCCUGGUGUAGCGGUGAAAUGCGCAGAUAUCAGGAGGAACACCCGUGGCGAAAGCGGCUCUCUGGGACGGUACUGACGCUGAGACGCGAAAGCGUGGGGAGCAAACAGG